CUAGGAUCAAGUCUCACACAUAUGAUGACUCAUGGUACAGAAACGAAUGUCACAUCAUUACUAUAUAAUAAGAGUUCUGUACAAAAUAGCUAUAUAAUUACAUCAUAAGAAGACAACGACCCACCAACCAUAGUUGACUAGGAGACGACGGCCUAGACCUCUCACGAACUCAUCGCGACAUCCUUCAUGCUCCUCAUCUUGUCGGUACCUGCUCUUGACCUAGGAGCGAUGUGAGUACAGAAAGGGUGAGCUCAUAUACGUUCAUCGCUCAACAAGUUGUGGGGAAUAAUGUGCAUGGGCUCACUUACAAUGGGGCUCAUGUGAAGUGUAAGGCUUACCAAAGGAGAUGGUUAAAGCUGAGCAUUACUUUUAAAUUUGGUCAAGUUUUAUUAGCAGUUACUAAGUAUAAAUAGAUACCAACCCGAAUAAAUAAGAGAUCACAAUUAAUAAUAACACCCACAAUGCAAUGCAAAUGACAAAUUAAGUUUAAUUCCAUAAGUUAAUAAUGUGAGUGUCCGAGUCGCUCAUGAUCGUGAGCAUGACUGAUAUACCAGUUUUACACUCUGCAGAGGUUGUGCAUCUUUACCCACAAGUCGUGUUACCCAUUUGCCAUGGGGUUAUACGGACCCCAUACACCUCUACCGAGGAAGCGAGGCAGGGUAGCACUACGAGACCUUUCCAAAGUUCCACUAGUUCGAGAAAACCCACUGCAGAUUCAGGAAGAAGGAAGCAUAGGAAUCCCUCGUCCGAAAUGCCAUCACAACAGUUUGACCCGAGGACCUCCCUAUAAUCUGCACUGACGCCUCCCCGCUUGCCCCUUUCGGGUAAGGUAAUCUCUCCCUACCUUUCCUAAUUACUUGACCAAGGGCGUCCCAUUCCACCCUUGUGGUAAGCACUAUUUUCCCGAGUGGUUGUCCAUGUUCCAAUUAACAUGAUGAUCUUAUCAUGAACAAUAAUUAAAACAACAACAAAAUUGGAACAUGAUCAUAAUAUAACAUUAGUUUCCUAAAACCAGGUAGAGCAAUAGCGAAUCUACCCAAUAGUUCAUAUGUUUGCAAGAUGCGGGAUAAAAAAUACUAGGGAAACCUACUAGGUCCCAUCAAAUUAACCUGAGCAUGUCACAGUGAUUAAUCGGAACAUUAUUAGGUAAAGAGAAAAGUGAUCAACGACACAACUUGCCUUAGACUCGAGAUACCCAGGUACUUCUCCAAGUUAAUCUUCAAGUUUCUCGUGACCUCACUGCUACUCGUAGCAAUACAUACAAAUAGGCAAGGAGUACAAUAAUAUAACAGUACACCAAACAUGAGAACAAACAACGUAAGAAUAUUCUACGCGCUGCUACGAGGUCGUAGGUUCGAAAAUCACUAAAUUCGGAGUUACAGUUAUAAAGUUAUGAUUUUCCGAAGGUUUAAGUGUUUAAUUUAAAACUAAUUAAGUACAUGAUUUUAAUCAUAGAUUUCAUAGUAAUAUAAGGUUACUAGAUGAUAAACAAUAUUAACAUGAGUUUAAUGCAACUAGAAUGGACAAUAUUAACAUGAGUUUAAUGCAACAUGAGUUAAAAUGGAUUAAUUAUGAAUUUAACAAGUUCCUAAAAUUAUUUCUAUACUAGAAAUCAUUUUCUAUACCAUUUUAUUUGAUUUAUUUACUUUCUGGGUUGCGCGCAUUAAUUCUAGGAAGUACGUGGUUCUAUUCGUAAAUAUCGGGACUCCGUUCUAAUUAUUUUCUACUAGUGUGGAUGGCGGUUUGAUUGCCCUAAAAGGUAAGGUCUCUUUUGCAAAGUUCGCAGGCUGAAGAUGUAUGGGCCUAGUUGGGCCGCAGGAUCAACCGCAGACGGCCACAAUUAGAUCUGAUCCCCCCAAACCUGUGACCGUAAUAUCAUAGAGCAACGAUGGAGAUUUAAAUAACGGAGAUCGCUUCUCACCCGCCCGAUUCAAAGAUCGACGGUGCACAAGCCAUCAGACGAAAAGGGGUCUGCAACUUCUAAUCCCGGUCGCUACCCUAGGAUCCAACGGUCGAGACGUGUUUCCCUCCUUCUAGGCACGCAGGCGGUGGUGCCGGCCGGCUUGCGAUAGAGCACUCGUCGGAGACUCUGGCAUUCGGCCCCUGGCGACCCAACACUAAUCCGGAGGAAGCUACACGAAGUACGGAAAAUGAUGAACUUGGUAGGAGCAGACGUACCAGUGUUAAUGCCGCGAUAGCCCUUGUCCACGGCAUGGGGCGGACAGCGACGUGGCCCCUUCUCCGAUGAGCAAUUCCUAUGAUCCAGCUAACCCCGCACGUGAUUACCCACAUGUGCACGUUCCCCAAGGUGUUGCAUGUAACUUUGGCCCGAUCACGGUCACCUGUUGACACGGACGGUGAAGACGCACGACGGUGGCUCAAACCCUUCGCUUAUGUCGGUAGGGGGGUUUGGUUAUAGGCGCUAG
rnacentral:lncRNA from 1 species